UGGAUCUGGAGGCAGCUUUCUUUUUGUUAUGGUGAGAUUGUGGUGUUUUUGUGUAUAUAAAUAAUUUGUUUUUUUAUGUAGUCGCUACCUAUUGUUAUUUGAUUUAACACAUAUGAAUAUUUUGAUGUAGAUAUUUUAUCUUGAUCACCUGCAUAGGAGACCCUUGCAAUGGAGUGUGUUCCCUAGGGUGAAGAUUUGGAAUUCUGCACAGAUUAAGGCAGCCUUGAUGGAAGACAAGAUUAGCCCCGAUGAAUAUGGAAAGUUGUUGGUAAAGUGUAUUCUUUUUUUAAUAUAAGUGAAGUGUUGUUGGUGUAGUAUAUUUAUUUCUAGGGUGAGUUGACUUGUGAUUUCCGUAGGCUUUGGACAUAGCUUAUGGGGAGGAGCAUCCUCUUGAUCCAAGGGAUGAUGAGUGCAUGCGAGGAGCUGUCUCUGCUGGAACUCAGCUAGAUAAGGUUGAUAAUGUUGUUGUUGAAGUGAUGGGUAAGGUAUAAGUAUUUUGAAAACUCAGCCCUGGUGUUAUUUUUAUCUGGUGUUUAGUUUAACUGUAAUUGCUUCUAUGUUGUAGGUGAUUGAGAAGCUGACCCUAAGGUUGGAGACCUUUGUUGAGGGUGUGGUAGGAAAAGCUUUUAGCGUGUUUGUGUCGAAGAUGUGUAACAUGGGUAGUUAUAAUGCUACUGAUGAUUUCUGUUCAACCCAUAGCCAGUUAGCUACGGGCAGUACUGGUCCGUUACCUCAAAAUGUAGGCCCAGUAGAAAAAAUAGUAGGAGGUGUCUUGACAGGCGACAAUAUUUUACAACCCACGGUGGAGGCAGCGGAGGAAGAACCCAUGCCUUGUAAGCUAACUGUUUUGGAGAAGAGGCUGGUGAACUUUGUUCGUGGGUGGAAGGAAAUGAAGAAUGAAAAUGCGUACGUUAAAAUAGUUGGAGGGUUGUUACAAUAUUUUUGUUUCCAUAUGCAUAUUUGUUAUCAUGUUUACUGGUUGCUGUUUGUUACAUGUGCAGUCCUGGUCCUUCUAUAAUUGAGUGUGAUGGCAUGGAUGCAUCGCAAAGGGAUUGUUACCGUGUACUCUCCCCGAGGUGCCGGGUUGGUGACCAGUAUGUGAGGAUGGCCUCCGUCCUGUACAUGAAGACCUGGUCAGACCACACUAUGAAGAGGAUACUUUUGGAUCCUUCGUACUCGAUGAGGAAAAAGUUUAAUUUUAUGGUAUGGUCUGUGAUUUAGUUUUGAAACAUUGAAGGUGAUUGACAAUGAUUAAUAUUUUUCUUGGUAGCAUUUUGUUAUUCAAGGCAAAGAUGAGUUGAAGGAUUUGGGCCAAAAGUAUGACAAGGUGUUCCUAAGCUUUGAACUGAUGCAGAUUGAAAGUGUAAGUUGUUUUGUGUAGUAGGAUAAAAAUGUGGGGUGUAAUUUUGGUUUUGGUUAAUAUUUUUGGGUUCUGAAGUUGGUUCACUUAUGUGACAGGUAUUUGUCCCUGUUCUAGAUACUGCCCAAAAAGACGCGGAACAUUGGUAUUGUCUUGCGUUGGAUUUGAAAGGUCGACAGAUUUGGAUGAUUGAUUCUUUGUACGAUGAUGCAUACUCAAGGCAUGAGAAAAUUGUUACUAAGCUGAUAAUGGUUCUGUCUGCCCUUAAUUAAUUAGUCAAUUGAAACCCCGGUUUUUGUUUAUAAUAUAUAAGUUAUGAAUAUUGUAAAUGUUUGCAGAUUGAGGCCUUAGGGGUGCUGUUGAACAUCUCUGAUCCCAACUGGGAGCAGGGAACUAUUUCUACUUGGGUGCGGAAGUGUUUUCCUGUGACACAAACUGACACGUGCUCGUGUGGUGCAAUUAUGUUAGCAGCUAUCAAGCACUGUGUUCGUAGUUUUGAUGCUGCUUUUCACAUGGAGAAGAUUAGCACCUUGAGGCAAAACUUAUUUCUGAAUGAUGUGAACAGCGAUUACAACCAGCUGUAGGACCGAUUGGAGGAGGUUUUGCCUAAAGAACGUCGAGGGAAUAGAAAGGGUGGUUCUCAGAUGAGUUUCUAGGUUCUGUAUGCAAUUGGCAACAAAAGACUUCCUUAAUAGUUUAAUUAAUCACUUAAAUGUGUCCUAUUUUGUUAACUUAGAUACAAUGUGGUGGUGGUGUGACCCUGUUUUGCCUUGUUUUAUAAACUCGGCUAAGUACACUCUUUUAGGUCGCCUCUGUAGGAUUCAGAUGAUGUUUUAGCACAAUU